AUGAAUCAGCACCCAUAUGGGAUCCCGGUGCGUUCAAGAAGUUUCUUCAAUAUCAACAUUUUAAAGAUCCUAGACUCAGAUGGUCUUAAACCUAAUUCCAUCAAAGCAGGUGAUACAGUAAGUUUGUAUAUCAUGCUUCUGAAUUGGAUCAAUAUUUGUGAAAUGUAAUUAAUCAUAUAUAAAAUGUCUUUCACUGUUGCUCCUGUAGAAACAUUUAAUAAAUGGAGAAGGUCAACGUUCCCUCUUUUAAAAGAUGAAAUUCAGAUGAAGUUAGAGAAGACAUAAAACAAGUACUUGAGUAUCUCUCUGACUUGACCUGAGGUUUUACUAUCUGGGUAAGACUGUGUAAUCAAUCCCAUACAUGUUCACAAUGGGGCAGGCCACAAAAAAGCUACAAAGAACUGAAAGAACUAGUUACAUAUUAAAUAUAUAUAUAUAUAUAUAUAUAUUUACUGGCACUGAAAGGGACAUACAUUUUUCUUAUCAUGUUUAACUCUUUUGUGCCCCCACUAGUAUUUCAGCAUUUAUUUUACAUUAAAAAUUUUUCAUUUACUUGUAUUUUGUUUGAGAGAUAAGAUAGUCAUACACAGAGCAAGAGGGAAACACCUUCCACUCACUGGUUCAUUCAUUCACCAAACGCCUCAACAGCCAGGUCUGGGCCAAGUCAAACUAGGGGUCCAAAACUCAGUGGAGGUUUCCUGCAGGGACGGCAGGAAGCCAAGUGCUGGAUCCUCACCUGCGGCCUCCCAGGGUGUUCAUUAACAGGAAGCUGGGAUUGUUACAGGAGAGGAAGCUCGGAGGACCUUGUCUUCAAGCAAGGAAGUAAUUUUUAUUUCUGAAACUAGUCAUAUCAACACUCAGCAGGUCAGAAUGAUCUCAAAACCGAG